UAAACGGACCAUCGAGUAUCCAUUGGAGGGCAAGUCUGGUGCCAGCAGCUGCGGUAAUACCAGCUCCAAUAGCGUAUAUUAAAGUUGUUGCAGUUAAAAAGCUCGUAGUUGGACUUGUGUGCGCUGUCCGCGGGUGGCCUGCGCCCAAAAGGGCGUUUCGGUUCGGCCCCGGUGGCGCCUUGAAAUCUGCAGCUGGGGGGACGUUGGCCUUAACUGGUCGGCGACCGCACGCCGGCUGCUCGGUUACUGUGAGAAAAUUAGAGUGUUCAAGGCAGGCAUUGGGUGCAAUUAAAUACAUUAGCAUGGAAUAAUAAAAUAUGGCUCCUGCCGUAUUUUGUUGGUUUUGACUGGUGGGAGUAAUGAUUGAUAGGGACGGUUGGGGGUGCUAGUAUUGAGCGGCCAGAGGUGAAAUUCAUGGAUUCGCUCAAGACUAACUUAUGCGAAAGCAUUCACCAAGGACGUCCUCUUUAAUCAAGAACGAAAGUUGGGGGAUCGAAGACGAUCAGAUACCGUCGUAGUCUCAACCAUAAACUAUGUCGACUUGGGAUCGGCGGUAGUUUUUUCAUUAAGACACUGUCGGGACCACGGGAGAAAUCAAAGUGUCUGGACUCUGGGGGAAGUAUGGUCGCAAGGCUGAAACUUGAAGGAAUUGACGGAAGGGCACCACCAGGAGUGGAGCCUGCGGCUUAAUUUGACCCAACACGGGGAAACUUACCAGGUCCAGAGAUGUAGAGGAUUGACAGAUUGAAGCUCUUUCUUGAUCACUUCGGUGGUGGUGCAUGGCCGUUCUUAGUUGGUGGAGUGAUUUGUCUGGUUAAUUCCGUUAACGAACGAGACCUCAGCCUGCUAGUGUAGUCGGCUGGAUUGCCUUUGGCGAUCCGUGAUUUCGACUUCUUAGAGGGACAAUCGACGCGCAGUCGAUGGAAGUUUGAGGCAAUAACAGGUCUGUGAUGCCCUUAGAUGUUCUGGGCCGCACGCGCGCUACACUGCUGGGCUCAGCGAGUUUUACUUGGCCGAGAGGCCCGGUUAAUCUUGUGAAAUCCCAGCGUGCUUGGGCUCGCCUCCUGCAACUGGAGGCGCCAACGAGGAAUUCCUAGUAGACGCAGGUCAUCAACCUGCAUCGAUUACGUCCCUGCCCUUUGUACACACCGCCCGUCGUUCCAUAAGAGUGAGGCAUCCGGUGAAUUCUCGGGAGAGCCUGGGCGUGGCCAGCAAUGGUCUGCUCGGGUUUGAACUUGCAUAAACUUGGUGCCUAUGAUUAGGG
rnacentral:rRNA from 1 species